AGGACAAACGCUGGCGGGGUGCAUGAGACAUGCAAGUCGAACGAGGUGCCAUCGGGCUUGCUCGAUGGUUACCGAGUGGCGGACGGCUGAGUAACGCGUAGGUGACCUACCCGGAAGUGGGGAAUAACUGCCCGAAAGGGUGGCUAAUACCGCAUGUGGUCGGCGAUUCAUGUCGCCGUCUAAAGGAGAAAUCCGCUUCCGGCGGGGCCUGCGUCCGAUUAGCUAGUUGGUGGGGUAACGGCUCACCAAGGCGACGAUCGGUAGCUGGUCUGAGAGGAUGAUCAGCCAGACUGGGACUGAGAACGGCCCAGACUCCUACGGGAGGCAGCAGUCGGGAAUUUGCCAAUGGACGAAAGUCUGAGGCAGCAACUCCGCGUGAGGAUGAAGGCUCGUCGGGUCGUAAACCUUCUUUUCUCGAGGAAGAUCCAAGCGUACCUGAGAAUAAGCGACGGACUAACUACGUGCAGCAGCCGC
rnacentral:rRNA from 1 species